UACGAAGGGUGCAAGCGUUACUCGGAAUUACUGGGCGUAAAGCGUGCGUAGGUGGUGAGUUAAGUCUGUCGUGAAAGCCCCGGGCUCAACCUGGGAAUGGCGAUGGAUACUGGCUCGCUAGAGUGCGGUAGAGGAGAGUGGAAUUCCCGGUGUAGCAGUGAAAUGCGUAGAGAUCGGGAGGAACAUCAGUGGCGAAGGCGGUUGCCUGGGGCUUUGCUGACGCUGAUGCGCGAAAGCGUGGGGAGCGAUCCGG
rnacentral:rRNA from 1 species